rnacentral:rRNA from 1 species
GGAUUCCCCUAGUAACUGCGAGUGAACAGGGAUUAGCCCAGCACCGAAGCCUGUGGUUAUUUGACUGCAAGGCAAUGUGGUGUUUAGGUUUGUUCUUGGCAUUACUGCUCUGCCCCAAGUCCAGCAAUGAGUACGGCAUACCGUUCUGGCCCAUAGAGGGUGAAAGGCCCGUGGGGGUAGAGACCAAGCAUGACAGUUUUGUCCAGAGCUUACCUUGGAGUCGGGUUGUUUGAGAAUGCAGCCCAAAGUGGGUGGUAAACUCCAUCCAAGGCUAAAUACCUGCACGAGUCCGAUAGUAAACAAGUACCGUGAGGGAAAGUUGAAAAGUACUUUGAAGAGAGAGUAAACAGUGCGUGAAACCGCUCAGAGGUAAACGGGUGGAGUUGAACUGCGAUCCUUGGGAAUUCAGCUGAUGAGCAUGAUUUGUGCUUGGGCAUAUUGACCGCCUUUCAGUGUCUGCUUAGCUGCGGGUGCCUGCCUCUGGUGGGUAUGUGUGGUGCGCUUAUCAUGUGCCGCACGCAUUGGAGGGUGUAUGAGUCUGCUUGUCGGUGCACUUUCUCAGGGUGUUCACCACGACCGGCACUGCUGUCUGUCUGCUUUGGUCAAACUGAUCAGGUCUGAUUAACGUUGGGCUUGGUUGGGUUGGCAGGUGACUCACUGGUCCAUUCUGUGGGCUAUGAGUGUUACUAGCCGGCCUUAGUGGAUCUGUACGGUGUGUCGGAGACGGCGGCUUUGCAUAUGCGCUCUGUCCUUCAGGCGUGGUUGAGUCUGGUCGACUUGUUGCUAGUUUCGGCUGGUCAGUUGAUGGCUUGAUCAUGUUCAGUUGGCAGUGGUGUGUGUGUCUUAGUUUGGGCCAAUAGUCUGUGGUGUUGUGGUAGACUAUCCACCUGACCCGUCUUGAAACACGGACCAAGGAGUUUAACAUGUGCGCGAGUCAUUGGGCUUUACGAAACCCAAAGGCGCAGUGAAGGUAAAGGCUUGGCUUGUCCAGGCUGAGGUGAGAUCCUGUUGUUUUGCUCAUUCAUUCCAAGCUGCGAGCAGCAGGCGCAUCACCGGCCCGUCCCAUGACGUAGACAUGUGGCCUUGUGCUAUGUGCACCGUCGGGGCGGAGCAAGAGCGUACAUGUUGAGACCCGAAAGAUGGUGAACUAUGCUUGCGAAGGUUGAAGCCAGAGGAAACUCUGGUGGAGGACCGUAGCGAUUCUGACGUGCAAAUCGAUCGUAUAACGUGAGUAUAGGGGCGAAAGACUAAUCGAACCAUCUAGUAGCUGGUUCCCUCCGAAGUUUCCCUCAGGAUAGC